GAGAGUGUGUAUGUGUGAGUGUGUGCACGUACAGGUGCACUCUCACCAACAC
rnacentral:miRNA from 1 species